rnacentral:rRNA from 1 species
AGGGGAAUAUUGGACAAUGGGCGCAAGCCUGAUCCAGCCAUGCCGCGUGAGUGAUGAAGGCCCUAGGGUUGUAAAGCUCUUUCACCGGUGAAGAUAAUGACGGUAACCGGAGAAGAAGCCCCGGCUAACUUCGUGCCAGCAGCCGCGGUAAUACGAAGGGGGCUAGCGUUGUUCGGAUUUACUGGGCGUAAAGCGCACGUAGGCGGACUUUUAAGUCAGGGGUGAAAUCCCGGGGCUCAACCCCGGAACUGCCUUUGAUACUGGAAGUCUUGAGUAUGGUAGAGGUGAGCGGAAUUCCGAGUGUAGAGGUGAAAUUCGUAGAUAUUCGGAGGAACACCAGGGGCGAAGGCGGCUCACUGGACCAUUACUGACGCUGAGGUGCGAAAGCGUGGGGAGCAAACAGG